GUGCUCGCUUCAGCAGCACAUAAACUAAAAUUGGAACAAUACAAUGAAGAUCAGCAUGGGCCCUGUGCAAGGGUGACACACAAAUUCAUGAAGCGAUCCAUGCUUUU
ensembl:snRNA U6 U6 spliceosomal RNA